rnacentral:rRNA from 1 species
AGUGAAGCGGCAACAGCUCAAAUUUGAAAUCUGGCCCUUGGGUCCGAGUUGUAAUUUGUAGAGGAUGCUUUUGGCGCGGUGCCUUCCGAGUUCCCUGGAACGGGACGCCUUAGAGGGUGAGAGCCCCGUACGGUUGGACACUAAGCCUCUGUAAAGCUCCUUCGACGAGUCGAGUAGUUUGGGAAUGCUGCUCUAAAUGGGAGGUAAAUUUCUUCUAAAGCUAAAUAUUGGCCAGAGACCGAUAGCGCACAAGUAGAGUGAUCGAAAGAUGAAAAGCACUUUGAAAAGAGGGUUAAAUAGCACGUGAAAUUGUUGAAAGGGAAGCGUUUGCGACCAGACCUUUUCCUAGCGGAUCAUCCGGUGUUCUUCACCGGUGCACUUCGCUAGGUCGAGGCCAGCAUCGGUUUCUAUAGGGGGACAAAAGCUUAGGGAACGUAGCUCCUUCGGGAGUGUUAUAGCCCUCUGCAUAAUACCCUUACGGGGACCGAGGACCGCGCUUUUUGCAAGGAUGCUGGCGUAAUGGUUGUCAACGACCCGUCUUGAAACACGGACCAAGGAGUCGAACAUUUGUGCGAGUGUUUGGGUGUUAAACCCUCACGCGUAAUGAAAGUGAACGGAGGUGAGAGCCCUUACGGGUGCAUCAUCGACCGAUCCUGAUGUCUUCGGAUGGAUUUGAGUAAGAGCAUAACUGUUCGGACCCGAAAGAUGGUGAACUAUGCGUGGAUAGGGUGAAGCCAGAGGAAACUCUGGUGGAGGCUCGCAGCGGUUCUGACGUGCAAAUCGAUCGUCAAAUCUG